rnacentral:tRNA from 1 species
GGGCGGGUUCCCGAGUGGUUAAAGGGAGCAGACUGUAAAUCUGCCGUCGGCGACUUCGGAGGUUCGAAUCCUCCCCCUCCCA